CCGAGUUUACAACUCCCAAACCCAAUGUGAACGUUACCAAACUGUUGCCUCGGCGGGAUCUUCUGCCCCGGGUGCGUCGCAGCCCCGGACCAAGGCGCCCGCCGGAGGAAUCAACCAAAACUCUUAUUGUAUACCCCCUCGCGGGUUUUUUUUUAUAAUCUGAGCCUUCUCGGCGCCUCUCGUAGGCGUUUCGAAAAUGAAUCAAAACUUUCAACAACGGAUCUCUUGGUUCUGGCAUCGAUGAAGAACGCAGCGAAAUGCGAUAAGUAAUGUGAAUUGCAGAAUUCAGUGAAUCAUCGAAUCUUUGAACGCACAUUGCGCCCGCCAGUAUUCUGGCGGGCAUGCCUGUCCGAGCGUCAUUUCAACCCUCGAACCCCUCCGGGGGGUCGGCGUUGGGGAUCGGCCUUCCUUCACGGGGGCCGUCUCCGAAAUACAGUGGCGGUCUCGCCGCAGCCUCUCCUGCGCAGUAGUUUGCACACUCGCAUCGGGAGCGCGGCGCGUCCACAGCCGUUAAACACCCAACUUUCUGAAAUGUUGACCUCGGAUCAGGUAGGAAUACCCGCUGAACUUAAGCAUAUCAAA
rnacentral:rRNA from 1 species